rnacentral:rRNA from 1 species
CACCGGCAGCUAAAGUGGUAGCCGCUUUUAUUGGGCCUAAAGCGUCCGUAGCCGGUCUGAUAAGUCUCUGGUGAAAUCCCACAGCUUAACUGUGGGAAUUGCUGGAGAUACUAUCAUGACUCGAGGUCGGGAGAGGCUGGAGGUACUCCCAGGGUAGGGGUGAAAUCCUGUAAUCCUAGGGGGACCACCAGUGGCGAAGGCGUCUAUCUAGAACGAGUCUGACGGUCAGGGACGAAGCCCUGGGGCGCAAACGGG